CGCGAAUCGCCCUUCGGGGUGCAGCAGGCGCGAAAACUUUACAAUGCCGGCAACGGCGAUAAGGGAACCUCGAGUGCCAGGUUACAAAUCUGGCUGUCGUGAUGCCUAAAAAGCAUUGCAUAGCAAGGGCCGGGCAAGACCGGUGCCAGCCGCCGCGGUAACACCGGCGGCUCGAGUGGUAACCGUUAUUAUUGGGUCUAAAGGGUCUGUAGCCGGCCGGGUAAGUCUCUUGGGAAAUCUGGCAGCUUAACUGUCAGGCUUUCAGGAGAUACUGCCUGGCUCGAGGCCGGGAGAGGUGAGAGGUACUUCAGGGGUAGGGGUGAAAUCUUGUAAUCCUUGAAGGACCACCAGUGGCGAAGGCGUCUCACCAGAACGGACCUGACGGCAAGGGACGAAAGCUAGGGGCACGAACCGGAUUAGAUACCCGGGUAGUCCUAGCCGUAAACGAUACUCGCUAGGUGUCGGCCACGGUGCGACCGCGGUCGGUGCCGUAGGGAAGCCGUGAAGCGAGCCACCUGGGAAGUACGGCCGCAAGGCUGAAACUUAAAGGAAUUGGCGGGGGAGCAC
rnacentral:rRNA from 1 species